CACGCCCUAAACGAUGUCAACUAGUUGUUGGGGAUUCAUUUCUUCAGUAACGUAGCUAACGCGUGAAGUUGACCGCCUGGGGAGUNCGCGAAAAACCUUACCUACCCUUGACAUGCCACUAACGAAGCAGAGAUGCAUUAGGUGCUCGAAAGAGAAAGUGGACACAGGUGC
rnacentral:rRNA from 1 species